AGUAAGUACAAGGAUCAAAUCCUCCGCCCAAAUUCUGUUCCCCAUUUUCAAAGCUCUGUUUCAGAGAGUAUCAAAACUUGGCCAAGAGAAUGGCGAAACCGGUUACCGAUUCGCGCAGCAACAGAGCCGCCGUUCAAGCCACCAACGACGACGCUUCCGCCAGUAAACUGUCAUGCGUGAAAAAAGGAUAUAUGAAAGAUGAUUAUGUUCAUCUGUUUGUUAAAAAGCAGCUGAGGCGAGCUCCGAUUAUUAAUCGUGGUUAUUUUGCCCGCUGGGCUGCUCUUCGAAAGAUGCUCAAUCAAUUUCUUGAUUGUGAGCCGAAUGCUGAUGGAAAUGGAAAUAUCAGGAAGCAGAUACUGUCACUUGGAGCUGGCUUCGACACGAUGUUCUUUCAGUUGCAGGAUGAAGGAAAAGCUCCUCAUCUUUACGUGGAACUGGAUUUCAUUGAGGUAACAAGUAAGAAGGCAGCUCUUAUUGAAACCUACAGUCAGUUAAGGGAUAAAGUUGGUGAAACAGCAUCAAUAUCCUCAGAAAAGGGGGAAGUCCAUAGUGAUCAUUACAAAUUGCUGCCUGUAGAUUUGCGCAACAUAGAAAAUUUGAAUGAUAUUAUAGCCCAAGCAAAUUUAGACCCCAGUUUGCCAACAUUUAUAAUUGCAGAAUGCGUUCUUAUAUAUUUGGAUCCUGAUUCAAGCCGUGCUAUUGUUGGAUGGGCUUCAAGAACCUUUUCCACAUCAAUAUUUUUCUUGUAUGAGCAGAUCCACCCAGAUGAUGCUUUCGGUCAGCAAAUGAUUCGGAAUUUGGAGAGCCGAGGUUGCGGACUAUUAGGAAUAUAUGCUACACCAACUUUACAAGAGAAAGAAAAUCUUUUUCUUGAUCAAGGAUGGCAGAAAGCAGUUGCUUGGGACAUGCUACAGGUUUAUAGUGAUUUUAUUGAAGCUCAAGAAAGACGCAGGCUUUGCAAACUGCCUUUUUAGCCUCUCUGAGAUUUCUUGUACUCUUCAAAGGUUUCACCAUCUUCUGCUUUCGGAUUGAAAGAUUGGAAAUAUUUGAUGAAUUUGAAGAGUGGUAUAUGAUGCAGGAGCACUAUUGUGUUACAUAUGCAAUCAAUGAUGCUAUGGGUUUGUUCAAGGAAUUUGGUUUUCCUAAAACACAUCCUACAACAAAUACCUCCAUUGCAACAUCCACAUGAGAAGAGGAUCCUAUCUUUAGACAAAAUCACUCUUUCCAAUCUCAGGUCAUCAGAAUAUGAAUGGAAAGCUUCUUACCAGUUGUCAACUGUCAGGAUUAGAAGGGUUUCAGGUACUGAAAGGGUCUCAACCAGUUCUGGCUCCUAAUUAGGUGCAUUAGGGACGAUCUUAGUGUGAAUGCAUGUAUACAUAUAUUUGUUUCGACGUAAAGGGGAAGAUCUUCUCCGGAUAUUUUUUAUUUUUAUUUUAUAUAAUGUUGGACUGAAAUGAGUUUGAGCGGCGCGUGCAAUGAGAGUUCAUAUAGCCGAACCCAGCUUGUUUCGGAUUGAGGUGGAGUUGAUGUUUGAUUAUGAAAGGGUAGAUCCUCUUUUGCUAGCUGUUUGGCAAAAUCUAAAACGUGGUAGGGCCUAUGAGAAGGGAAUUGUGUUGUUUUUGGCCCUUGUUGGGUGGGGAAACACUUGCAUGGUUGUUGUCUCCUUUUUUCUAUUAGAUAUAUUAGAUACUCUUCUCUUUCUUUAUAUCUAUUUGCAUCAUCCUUUUGUAUUUAAUUUGACUAUUGUACCACCGAAUUGGUAGAUAUGAUAACUCAAUGCUUCAUCAUGA